rnacentral:rRNA from 1 species
GAGUUUGAUCUUGGCUCAGAUUGAACGCUGGCGGCAGGCCUAACACAUGCAAGUCGAGCGGUAGAGAGAAGCUUGCUUCUCUUGAGAGCGGCGGACGGGUGAGUAAUGCCUAGGAAUCUGCCUGGUAGUGGGGGAUAACGCUCGGAAACGGACGCUAAUACCGCAUACGUCCUACGGGAGAAAGCAGGGGACCUUCGGGCCUUGCGCUAUCAGAUGAGCCUAGGUCGGAUUAGCUAGUUGGUGAGGUAAUGGCUCACCAAGGCGACGAUCCGUAACUGGUCUGAGAGGAUGAUCAGUCACACUGGAACUGAGACACGGUCCAGACUCCUACGGGAGGCGAGCAGUGGGGAAUAUUGGACAAUGGGCGAAAGCCUGAUCCAGCCAUGCCGCGUGUGUGAAGAAGGUCUUC